AAUGAACGUCGGCGGCGUGGAUUAGGCAUGCAAGUCGUGCGGAAAGGCUCCUUCGGGAGUACUCGAGCGGCGAAAGGGAAAGUAACGCGUGGAUAUCUACCCCCUGGACUGGGAUAGCGGCGGGAAACUGCCGGUAAUACCAGAUAACGUCUGCGGACCAAAGGUGUGAUUCCGCCGGGGGAUGAGUCCGCGUCCUAUUAGCUAGUUGGUGGGGUAAUGGCCUACCAAGGCAAAGAUGGGUACCGGGUGUGAGAGCAUGGCCCGGCUCACUGGGACUGAGACACUGCCCAGACACCUACGGGUGGCUGCAGUCGAGAAUCUUCGGCAAUGGGCGCAAGCCUGACCGGGCGACGCCGCGUGCGGGAUGAAGGCCUUCGGGUUGUAAACCGCUGUCAGAGGGGAGGAAAUGCAUGGGGGUUCUCCCUCAUGUUUGACCUAUCCUCAGAGGAAGUACGGGCUAAGUUCGUGCCAGCCGCCGCCGUAACAC
rnacentral:rRNA from 1 species